rnacentral:lncRNA from 1 species
GUAAGAGUACUUCUACCUCAGGUACGCUUGUUGUUAAUGUUAUAGACAACAUAUUUCUCGCUGAUACAGUUAUUAAUUCUUGGGUAUUUGAUACCGGAUCGGUUGCUCAUAUUUGCAAUUCGAUGCAGGGAAUGAUAAGAAGUAGAAGCGUGGAAAGAGGAGAAGUUGAUUUCCGCGUGGGCAAUAAUGCAAGAGUUGCUGCUUUGACCGUCGGGACGAUGCAACUCCACCUCCCGUCAGGAUUUAUUAUGGAGUUGAAUAAUUGUUAUUUUGUUCCUAGUUUAAGUCGAAACAUUUUAUCUCCUUCAUGUUUGAUGAAGGAUGGUUAUUCAUUUGCGAGUGAAAACAAUGGUUGUGUGAUCUCUAAGAAUAAUAUGUUUAUGGUUUUUGCACCCAUUGUGAAUGGAUUAUUUGUUUUAAAUCUUGAUGGUUCACCUGUCUGUAAUGUAAGUGCUAAAAGGCCUCGGCCUAAUGAUUUGAGUCCUACCUACUUGUGGCAUUGUCGUUUGGGUCAUAUAAGUGAAAACCGCAUGAAGAAGCUCCAUUCUGAUGGACUUCUAACUUCGUUUGAUUUUGAAUCAUACGAGACAUGUGAGGCUUGCUUGCUAGGCAAGAUGACCAAGACGCCUUUCACAGGAUUUCCUGAGAGAGCAGUAGACUUGUUGGAACUCGUACAUAGUGAUGUAUGCGGACCAAUGAGCACGACGGCUAGAGGAGGAUUCCAAUACUUCAUAACUUUCACUGAUGAUUUUAGUAGAUAUGGCUAUGUCUACUUGAUGAGGCACAAGUCUGAGACCUUUGAAAAGUUCAAGGAAUUUCAGAAUGAAGUUGAAAAUCAGCGUGGCAAGAAAAUUAAGGCCUUGCGAUCUGAUCGUGGAGGCGAGUAUUUGAGCCACGAGUUUAGCAAUCAUCUAAAGAGUUGCGGAAUUGUUCCACAACUUACGCCGCCUGGAACACCUCAGAGAAACGGUGUGUCCGAGCGACGUAAUCGAACUUUGUUAGACAUGGUUCGAUCAAUGAUGAGCCAGUCGGACCUACCGUUGUCAUUUUGGGGAUACGCUCUAGAAACAGCAGCUUUCACACUAAAUAGGGUACCAUCUAAAUCCGUAGUUAAGACACCAUAUGAGAUGUGGACUGGAAAGGUUCCUAGUUUGUCUUUUCUAAAGAUUUGGGGAUGUGAAGUGUUUGUCAAGCGACUUCAGUCGGACAAGAUCACACCCAAGUCGGAUAAGUGCAUUUUCGUGGGAUAUCCAAAGGAAACUUUGGGAUAUUAUUUCUACAACCGAUCAGAAGGCAAAGUGUUUGUCGCUCGGAACGGGGUUUUCCUAGAGAAAGAGUUUCUCAAAGGAGAAAAGAGUGGAAAGACAGUGCAUCUUGAAGAAGUUCAAGAUGAGCCAAUCGGGCAAGAAUCAAUGAGUGAUGCUAACGUAGCAGAACAAGUUGAGAUACCCAUGGCAAGAGAAGCACCGCCACAACCACGAAGGUCAGCAAGGCUCCGCGAAAUGCGAGAAAUAUUAUUGUUGGACAAUGAUGAGCCUGCGACAUAUGCAGAAGCAAUGAUGGACCCAGACUCCGAAAAAUGGCAGAGUGCCAUGCAAUCCGAAAUAGAGUCCAUGGGAGACAAUCAAGUUUGGAACUUGGUUGACCCGCCUGAUGGUGUUAAAGCCAUAGAGUGCAAGUGGAUCUAUAAGAAGAAGAAGGACAUGGAUGGAAAUGUUCACAUCUACAAAGCACGACUUGUCGCAAAAGGUUUUCGACAAGUUCAAGGAGUUGACUACGACGAGACCUUCUCGCCCGUAGUGAUGCUUAAGUCCAUUCGGAUUAUUCUAGCUAUAGCUGCAUAUUUCGAUUAUGAGAUAUGGCAGAUGGAUGUCAAGACAGCUUUCCUGAAUGGAAACCUAGCUGAGGACGUGUAUAUGAUACAGCCCGAGGGUUUUGUCGAUCCGAAAAAUGCUGGAAAGGUAUGCAAGCUUCAGAGAUCCAUUUAUGGAUUGAAGCAAGCAUCUAGGAGUUGGAACAUUCGUUUUGAUGAAGUGGUCAAAGGGUUUGACUUCACCAAAAACGAAGAAGAGUCUUGUGUUUACAAGAAGGUUAGUGGGAGCUCUGUAGUAUUUCUAAUCUUAUAUGUGGAUGACGUAUUACUGAUUGGAAAUAACAUUCCUAUGCUUGAGUCCGUAAAGACUUCACUGAAAAAUAGUUUUUCGAUGAAGGACUUAGGGGAAGCGGCAUAUAUUCUGGGUAUUAAGAUCUAUAGAGAUAGAUCGAGAAGGCUUAUAGGUUUAAGCCAAGAUACUUACAUUGACAAAGUGUUGAAGCGGUUCAGCAUGGAAGAGGCAAAGAAAGGGUUCUUGCCUAUGUCACAUGGCAUACAUCUCAGCAAGACUCAGUGUCCUUCGACUGCUGAUGAGCGGGAUCGCAUGAGUAGAGUGCCAUAUGCCUCGGCUAUUGGAUCUAUCAUGUAUGCAAUGAUAAGUACUCGCCCAGAUGUUUCAUAUGCGCUAAGUAUGACAAGCAGACACCAAUCUAAUCCAGGUGAGAGUCACUGGACAGCGGUGAAAAACAUUCUUAAGUACUUGAGAAGGACUAAAGAUAUGUUCCUUGUCUAUGGAGGUCAGGAGGAGCUCGUUGUAACAGGUUACACCGAUGCUAGUUUCCAAACCGACAGAGAUGAUUCAAAGUCACAAUCAGGAUUUGUGUUCACGCUAAAUGGUGGUGCUGUUAGUUGGAAGAGUUCCAAGCAGGAGACGGUGGCCGAUUCUACGACAGAAGCCGAGUACAUCGCGGCUUCGGAAGCCGCGAAGGAAGGUGUUUGGAUAAGGAAUUUCCUGAUUGAGCUUGGUGUGUUCCCGAAUGCGUCCAGCCCAUUGAAUCUCUACUGUGAUAACAAUGGGGCAAUUGCGCAAGCAAAGGAGCCAAGGAACCACCAGAAGAACAAACACGUAAUGCGGCGAUUUCAUCUCAUUCGAGACUUCGUUAACCGGGGUGAGAUCAAGAUAUGCAAAAUACACACGGAUCUGAACAUUUCUGAUCCGUUGACAAAACCACUCCCGCAGGCUAAGCAUGAUGCGCAUGUAAGAGCUAUGGGUAUUAGGUACCUUCUAGAUUGACUCUAGUGCAAGUGGGAGACUGUUGGAGGUAUGCCCUAGAGGCAAUCAUAGAGAUGAUGAUAUUCCAUUUGUAUCCAUGAUUUGUAUAUUGUGUUCAUUGAAUAUCCAUUAAAGGCUACUUGAAUUGAUUUGCAAUUAUGUGAAUUGUAUGUGAAACUCUUUACUUGUAUGGUUAUUCUAAAGUUGUCCCUAGUCGGAGUUCAUGUGAGGACACACAUGAAUAUUAGACUAGCACAUGUAUUAGUUGAUGACUAUGUUUCACAAGUCAUGGACAUGGAGAUGUUGAACUAAUAAUGUGGACACAUGUGGAGACAUGUGUUAGGACUGACCCAACACGAGAAGUAGUUCUCUCUUUAAACAACAUAUACGCUUUGUCCUUAGACCUAAGAUUGUCGCAUGUAUUCUAGAUGUGGAUCGACCUACUUAGGGGCUAUCAAACGCUACGCCGUAACAGGGUAGUUAUAAAGGUAGCUUUCGGGUUUGUCAAGAAGCAUGCUAUGAGACAUGGUCAAUCAAGAAGGGAUUUGCCCCUCUCUGAUUGAGAGUGAUAUCUCUGGGCCCCUCGAGUGAUCGGAUCUGAAAAUGCAUGGCCAUGCUACGUACGGUUAAGAGUUAACCUACAAAGGGAUUCCGAAUCACAGGAUCGAGAAAGAGCGGUUGGCUUGAAGCUAGACCAAAUAUCGUGAGGCAAAGGGAAUAGCAUGUAUAUUAUGUUGUGAUGGUUCGUCUGAUAUGAUCUUCGUGUGCGUAUAGGAGUUGGCACGUCUUGCUAGAGGCCGCUACCGACUAUUGGGCCGAGUAGGAGUACUCGGGCCAUGUCUAUACGUAUCCGAACCCAAAGGGUCGCACACUUAAGGGGCUGGAAGCCCAAUUCGGAUUUGAUCCGAGUUGGAUUAGGUUUAGGAGUACUAAUGGGCCUCGGAUCCAGAGGCCCAUCAGGAACCCCUAUAAAUUGAGGGGUGGGGGUGCCCUAGGGUUUCACACCUUUUGGCUGAACACACUUGCCGCGCCUCCCACUCCCUCGCCUGUUGCAACUCGCGGAUCUAGCAGUCCGGCUUGCGACGCUUCCUCCCUGCACGUGUGGAUACCUUGGAGGUGUUGCGCCUGCAGCACUUGGACGAGCCAUCGACGAGCCGCCGACGAGCCACGACGAGCCGCCGACGAGCCGCGGCACCGGAGGCGAUCUUGCUGUGCACGUGGACGAGCUGCUGAGGAGCUGCUGGACGUGAUCGACUACGUACGACUACGUUGAUCGACUACGUACGACUACGUGAUCGUCUUCACUGCAUCGACGCAUAUCUACAUCUUCCGCACCAGUAGUGCGUCGAGUGGUAAUCCCGUGAUCCUUAUACGGCAGUUCUUCCUAGUUAUACGCAGUAGAAAUUUUGAUUUACGCUAGCGUAGCCUACCUCGUAUCCCAACACCCACUCCACUCAAGUGGUCCGAGGUUCCAAUUUCUUUCAGCAGAAAGGAUCAAUGGACCAACUUCUCAGAGCCAGACCACUUUCCCCUGGUACUCAACCUAGUUGUCGCAGGCUCAAGACAAACAAAAGUACUCAUCGACGGUGGCAGUGUACUCAACGUCAUCUUCGCGAAAACCUUGAGGAAAAUGUGCCUCGACAUAACUGAUAUGCUUACACCAAUAGAUUCACCUUUCCACGGAAUUGUUCCAAGCAACGUCGUUAUCCCAUUAGGGCAAGUCAUCCUACCUAUCACCUUCGGUGCCAAGGAGCAUUAUCCCACCAAGUACAUUAAGUUCGAGGUCGCCGACUUGGAGACUUCUUACUACUCCAUCCUUGGAAGGCCGGCUCUAGCUAAAUUCAUGGCUAUACCACACUACGUAUACCUACUGCUCAAGAUGCCAGGACCAAAGGGAGAACUCACACUACAUGGAGACCUAAGGUGAUCCUAUGAGUGCGACAAGGAAGCCGUCGAAAUUGCUGCGACUUCUCAAGCACCCGGUCCCAUGCAACAAGUCUUCACAGCCUCAAAAAAACUCACCCCGGCAGAACUCGAUAUUCUAGAGAACAAGUCGAGGGUGGCCAAGUUCAAGCCAACAACAGACAAGGACUUCAAGCCCAUUGACCUGGAGACCGGUGAUUCAUCCAAGACAACCUUGAUUGGCACAGGGCUAGAUCCCCAAUAGGAAAGUGUGCUCAUCAGUUUCCUUUGAGCUAACCGAGACAUCUUCGCUUGGAAGUCGGCCGAUAUGCUAGGUGUGCCCAAGGAACUGAUCGAGCACUCACUAAAUGUUGAUCUCAAAGCUACUCCUAAAUGGCAACGAUUACGAAGAUUCGCUCAAGACAAGAGAGACGCUAUCAAGAAAGAACUAGCCAAACUACUCAGAGCAGGCUUCAUCAAGCAAGUUUUCCACCCCGACUGGCUAGCCAACCCAGUACUCGUUCAUAAGAAAAACAACAAUGAGUGGAGGAUGUGUUUCGACUACACAGACCUCAAUAAGCACUGCCCCAAAGACCCCUUCGGGUUACCCAGGAUUGACCAAGUCGUCGACUCCAUAGCCGGUUGCGUGCUACUCUGUUUCCUCGACUGCUACUCGAGUUACCAUCAGAUAGCACUCAAGGAAGAAGACCAAGCCAAAACCACCUUCAUCAGCCUUCAUCACCCCGUUUGGAGCUUUCUGAUACAACACAAUGUCCUUCGGGUUGAAGAACGUAGGCGCAACAUAGCAACACGCAAUUCAGAUGUGCUUCGAGAAGCAACUACACCGCAACCUAGAAGUCUAUGUGGAUGAUGUAGUCAUCAAAACAAGAAACCCAGAGGAUCUCAUCGCAGACUUGGAGGAAACUUUCACAAGUCUGUGAGGCUUUCGAUGGAAGCUCAACCCUACAAAAUGCAUUUUCAGCGUACCCUCAGGGAAACUACUCAGGUUCAUCAUUAGCCAUCGUGGCAUUGAGGCCAACCCAGAAAAGAUCUCUUCUGUCACCAACAUGCAAGUAGCUCCAGCCAGCAUCAAAGAUGUGCAGAAGUUUACAGGCUGCAUGGCAGCCCUGAACAGAUUCAACUCAAGACUUGGAAAACGCGAACUACCCUUCUUGAAGCUACUUAAAUGACAAGACAAGUUUCAGUGGAUAGAUGAGGCUGAAAAAGCUCUCGAGCAGCUGAAAGACUUCUUGUCAAAACUACCAAUCCUCACAGCUCCAUCACCAAAUGAAGAUAUGCUCUUAUACAUCACCGCAACUACUCACAUCAUCAGCACGGCCAUAAUAGUUGAGCGAUCUAAACCAGGCCACACUUACAAAGUCCAGAGACCAGUCUACUUCGUCAGUGAAGUACUCUCGGACUCCAAAACCCAGUACCCACCGGUACAGAAGCUACUCUAUGCUAUACUACUCACUUCACGGAAGCUACAACAUUAUUUUCAAGAGCACAGCAUAACCGUGAUUACCGACUUCCCGCUAGGCGAGAUCCUACACAACAGAGAUGCCACGGGAAGAAUCUUUAAAUGGGUAGUUGAACUCAAGCAUUGUCCUUGGACUUCAAACCCAGGACAACAAUCAAAUCCCAAGCCCUAGUUGACUUUUUGGUAGAGUGGAGAGCGAAUCAACUACCCACUCCAAUCGAAAAACCCGAGCACUGGGUCAUGUACUUCGACGGAUCACUCAAGCUUUAGGGAGCCGGCGUAGGAGUACUCUUAAUCUCCCCAAAAGACGAACAAAUCAAAUAUGUUCUCCAAAUCUUUUGGGAAGUCUCAAACAACAAAGCCGAGUACGAAGCACUUCUACACGGCCUUUGCCUUGCAAUCUCACUGGACAUCAAACAACUUCUAGUUUAUGGCGACUCAUUAGUAGUCAUCAACCAAGUUAACGACGAGUGGGAUCACAACAAACAAAACAUGGACGCCUACUUCAAGGAAGUUCGCAAGCUUGAGAACAAGUUCUCAGGACUCGAGUUUCACCAUGUCGUCCACGAAAACAACGUCGCUACCGACGUAUUAUCUAAGAUGGGCUCGACACGUGCGGAAGUCCCAGCGGGAAUCUUCGUACACGAACUCCGCCAGCUGUCUAUCAUGGAACAAGCUACUCAACCAAUUAUCAGCAAGGAACCUCCAGGCCCUGACUAUGACAUCAUGAUGAUCGAAGUUGACUGGAGGACCCCUUCCAUUGAUUUCAUCAAAGAACACAAACUACCCUCCAACAAGAAUCAGGCAGAACAAGUCACGCGAUAAGGCAAGACCUACAUUUUAGUCGGAGAGAAAAUCUACAGAAGAGGUGCCUCCUCGAGAGUACUCAUGAAGCGUGUCACUCACGGGGAAGGCACGGACAUGUUGGAGGGGAUACACAAAGGAAUAUGUGGCAAGCACGCAUCUUUGAGAAUAAUAGUAGGCAAAGCUUUCAAAGCAAGCUUCUACUAGCCAACAGCAUUGGCAGAUGCAGAAGAACUUGUCCGUAGAUGCUAGGUUUUUCAAUUCUUCACCAAACAACAACACGUUCCUGCCUACAAGUUUAUCACAAUACCUCCAACAUGGCCCUUUGCAUGCUGAGGGCUCGACAUGAUCGGCCCACUUCCAACAGCUCUAGGAGGAUUCAACCAAGUACUCGUGGCCAUCAACAAAUUCACCAAGUGGAUCGAAGUCAAAUCCGUGACUUGCCCCAAGAUCGACCAAGUCCUCGACUUCCUGGAUGAGAUCGUUCACCGCUACGAUUUUCCCAUACACCUUUACUUUCUCGUACUCAACAUUUAUGCUAUGCACAUAUUAAGAUUAAAUUGAUGGGUCCCAAUUAAGGUUCGCCUAGAUUGAUUUACCUUUGCCUUGACCAACCGGUUUACUUUAUGUUGGGUAGCUCAUGCUUAGUGCUUACUUGGUACAUGGUGGUUUAACUUCACACAAUGCUUAAUCUUGCUUUACUUCUGUUAUACCUUUCAUUAAGACAAGAACAUUAUUUGUUAAUCGGAACAUGGAGAACCACCCAGGAAAACAGUGCUACCACAAGACUAAAUGGCUCUGGUCUUGGCUGAUUAAUUAGAAACCUUAGUCUGGGGUGACCUUACUCGUGAUGAGGCAAGAGGGGGGACUGAGUCGUUGCAUUUUACCUGGGAUGGGUGGUGCACGCCAGACACCGAAACCUUAGCGGGUUACCACUGAUUAAUGAAUCUUUGUAAAGGCCUCGUAGCGUCCCUAUGCAAUCACACCUCGGAAGUGUGGUAUGGUGCCUUGCAAACACCGCAUGGUUGGGUCCAAAGUUCUUAUGAACUUUUACGCGACUUGUGGGUAAAGAUGUGCCACCUCUGCAGAGUGUUAAACUGAUCGAUCAGCCGUGCUCACGGUUAAGAGCGGCCUGGACCCUCACAUGAUAAUAUUAUCGGAAGAUGGAUUUAACUUGUUAUCAUUUCAUGCAUUUGUUGCUUACCUUGUGAUCAUGUUUAAUUUCAGGUGGUAUGAACUUAUACUUAGUUAAUUGCUAAUAAAACUUGACCAACUUAAUUAAAAGCGAUUGCUAAUUAUGCCUUAGCCAUACCUUGAAUUAGCCUUACACUACACUAUUCCCCACGACUUGUUGAGUACCAACCAUAAGUGUACUCACCCUUGCAAAACCGCUGUUCAGACCAAGUUAAUUGGGAAGAGGAGUAUCUACACGACUUCGAGGAGUUCUAGGCGUACGUUUCUUCAGUCAGCUGCCUGUGGAGUCGUCGUUGUCUUUGGAGUUCCGCUGCGUAAUAAUUAGACUUUGUGGUUUAUUUGAGACUUUCGGUCAUGUAUUAAUGGUUAAUACUCUCUUUAUUCGAUUUAGCACUGUCUUUGCUAUUCACUAUUGUCGUACAUGUGUGUAACUUGAUCCUGGCGCACAUGUAUUUAAUGCACUCGAUUUUGUCCUUAAAAUCGGGUGUGACACGAGUUCUGGGAGUACUGCGAGAACAGUGGUAUCGACGUUCGCUACGUCUCUGUCGCUCACCCACAAGCCAAUGGCCAAGUGGAGCAUGCUAACGGUAUGUUACACGAAGCUCUCAAGAAAUGACUAUACGAUAUCGGUAACACCAAAGGAGGCAAGUGGCUCAAAGAACUACCCAACGUUCUCUGGGGGCUGCGUACUCAACCAAGCAAGCCUAUAGGGCAGUCACCCUAUUUCCUUGUCUAUGGGUCAGAAGCCAUACUCCCUACUGAUGUCAUGUGGAAGUCUCCAGCAGUUGAACAAUAUAAAGAAGGAGCAGCAGAGGGGAUAACCCGACUCGAUCUAGACAGUUUGGAAGAGUCACGCUGUGUAGCACUCAUUCAAUCCGCGAGGUACCUUGAAGGACUAUGCCGUUAUCAUGACCGAAACACCAAAGAAUGUUCUUUCAACAUUGGUGACAUCGUCCUCAAGUGCAUCUUGGAUACAACGGGGCUGCAUAAACUGAAUUCACCAUGGGAAGGACCUUACAUAAUAUCCAGAGUCAUUGGACUUGGAUCAUAUAGGCUCCAAGGACUCUCUGGUGAAGAAAUUGCCAACUCAUGGAACGUAGAGCACCUAUGUCGCUAAUACCCUUAGAUAGCAAACUACAAGGCAUUGUACUUAGGCCAACGGCCUCAACCUGUCCCUCUGAUAAAUAAAUUUUAUUUUAUGGCAAACAUAGACUACUCAUCUAUGCCUACCUCUAGCGGCUCACAACAGUGAGUCAGCUGCAACUCGGGUUCUUCAACCCCAUGAGCCGUUGCGCGCUAUCUUCAACUUUUAGUCACAAGUCUAGCGGCUCGCAACAGCGAGUCAGCUGCAACUCAGGUUAUUCAACCCUACGAGCUCUUGCGCUCUGUCUUCUACUCAUAUUCACAUGUCUAGCGGCUUGCAAUAGUGAGUCAGCUGCAAUUCGGGUUCUUCAACACUACGAGCCCUCGCGCUCUAAUUUCGACUUGUAGUCACAAGUCAUGACUACCCUACUAGUCCCAAAGCUCCCCAGAGGAUCAAGUCUACCACAACAAAAGAGUACUCAAAGUCACUCCCUUUCCUAUAUGCAUUCUUCGUAAUAAUGAAAUUUUGUAGGAAUACAACAUAACUCCAUUCUAAGAAGUCAGAGUAUUCAAAAUACAACAUAAGUGCACAACAACGACUAUAAGCAACUGCCUACUGGCAGCCACAAUAGAAGUCCUAGGCUUUUAUCAUAUCACAAGGAUACACUUAAGCCUCACGACUACUCGCAGAUCAGGAGCAAAAAGCAUCAAGCGAGAGGAAGUACACGCAAGAAAGCUGCGCUCUAGGCAGCUGUACCCUCCUCCACUCGACGACACCUUAGAUGGGGAUAAGAGUACCAGGUACUCCUUCACCGCCUCUCCCCAGCGUCACCUCGGGCCUCUCUUCCCCAAAACCCGGCACAGGACUAUGGGUACACAUCAUGCACUUGAGUCCUACCCAGAGAAACUGCGGAAGAGGCGAGUAGUCGGAACCACACCUCCAUCUUUCACCAGAGAAUUGGAUAAAGACCGCGGAACUCAUCAUCCUUCACUCGCGAGUUCCAGCACGAACUGAGCUGGAUCUUAGGCGACAAGGCAGAGCUCACAGUGAACCCUCAUACGAGGAUUCUUCUAGCAUCCCAGCAAGUACAUCUAACGUGAAGAUCUGUGGAGGGAAGGUGGCUCUAAUCUACUAGGAAUCUUCUAGCACCGGGGCGCUCAUUGGAAGCUUACUACUAUCGAACAACAGCAACCUAAAGCAAGCCAUCGCUAUUCUACAAGCCAUGCCCCUGCUCGAACACCCGGGGGCCUAUUUAUAGUUGAAAGACUGCAACUGCCAACUACUCACACUUAUUGCACGCUCAUGAUUCAUAGUUUGAGACACUGACAAAAGCAAUUACGACCGGAGCAGCGGUCAGGGUGCUGCAGACAAGAUGAAAUAGCUUUACGCAUGUGACUACACUGGGUACAACGGACAAAGGUGCACAGUGUAACCCUGUGUCUUUUCAACAUACAAAGCAAUCAUACAUACAGUACUAUCACCCGUGACUCCAAUAAUUGAGAUUCCGUCGAGUAUCUCUACCGUCAUACUACUCGGAUUUAUCUCAUCGACUACAAGUACCCGACAAAAUUGACAAUGCGAUAGUCAAAAUGUCAAAAUAUUGUUUCUCAAAGAGUACCUGCUAGAGCAAUAGCAGACUUGCUAUGAGUACAUCACAAUGAUAACAGUCAAUUUUCGAGUACAAUGGACAAGCCACUACAGUACACAGAUCUACAGCUCCUCGAGGGUAACGAAGCCCAUCAUCUUGUCAGCAAUAGGCUCCGCCUCUUCAAGAUAUGUUGUGUAAUCCAUAUCCGUGCAAUUCCGGGCAAUACCAUCCCCAGCGGAUGACAAGUCUGCUCUCAGGUAAUACGACUUCACGACUGCUAGGACUUGCAUGAAGACGGUCUUGCAGAGGCUAGCGACCUUCGCUAGAGCAGCUCUCAACCUCUCAACUAAAGAGAGAGGCUCGACCUCCUGCUUGGGUGGACCAAUAGCAUCAACUACCGCCUGGGCAGCGCUGGCCAGCUCCACGAGUUCUUCUUCUCAUUUUUUAAUGGUCACCUCGUGAUCCCUGCAUGCCAACAUGGCCUGCGCCAGUGCAACUCCAGCCCGCUGCUUCAUUUCUCUUUCCUUAGCACAGGCCUCUUGCGCUUCAGCCAGUUGCACCCUGAGACCGUCAACUUGAUCAGCAACCCGAUCAUGCGCAUUUUUCCAGUUCAGCAGUAGACUACUCAAGCUGGACUCUUUACCCUCAAGCUCUGCAAAGAACAAAAUCAGUACAGGGAACAUCUACGACUAUAAUCAAAGUACUCUACCACAGGAGGCACAAGUACUUACCCUGAAUCCUCUGGUUCAACAACUCGAACCAUGCUUCAAGGUGACUCUUUUCGACUUCGUGAUCAUGCCUCUCGAUUGCAAAAGAUUUCGUGGCCUCUUCAUGAAUUUUCAAAUACUCUGUAAGACGGCGGCGCUCAUCGACAAGAUCCCUCUCCAAUAGGGCCACACGCCGCGCGGCCUCCCUAUACUCGUGAAGAACCUGGACGUUCUUCUGAGCCUUGCGAUACAAGUCCUGCAAAAAACCAACAGAUACGGAGUGUCACAGAAGGGCCAUGACUACAAGAAUACACUACUCAGGCUAAGACCGCACGCAUACCUGGUAACUAGAACUCAUGCUCUAAAUCACCCUUUGGAUUUCUGAUUCCGGACGCAACUCAACCACUGGGUUCUCCUCAACCUCGACAUCUCAAGGCAUUGGCGCCUCACCUAUGCCAAGCUCGAACAGCAGGUCAGGAACCAACUGCUGGGUAAACGAGGGUUCCCCCUCAUUAGCACCCCUACUCACCAGCACUCCGAGUGCUGCAUCUUCUCCCUUGGCAGACACCACCCGUUUUGCCACCACCAGCGCCGAAUCAUUGACCCCGGGCGCAUCCAAUGCCGCUGCAUCCUCAGCAAUGGUGGGUGGCUCAAGGCUUGAAGUCUCGAGGGCUGCAGGUUUCUCUAUUGACCGGAUCACCUCCUGCAGCAUUGUGACUGUCGCACCUACCAGGCCAGCAUCCGCGACUUCGGGUUUAUCGUCCAAGGUCAAAUCAACCACGGGCGCGGACUCGGGGACUGUAGUUGGUGGAUCAGAUGCCACCUCUGCACCCGCUUUGACGGGUAUUAUCUCUUCCGCGUACCUGGAUUGAACAGGUCACAAAUUCACCAACUGGCUACAGAAGAUAAAGCUACAAAUUGGUUAUAGAAGUACACGGGUACUCACCGAGCCGACCGAGGCGGAACUCGGCAGCAUUUCUUUUCAACUCGCACCGGUUGAACACUCAUGACCGACACCACGGGCUUCACAGGAGGAAGAUCUCCCACAUUUUCACCAAGUCCUGAAAGAAUCAAUGCUAAAACCACAUAGGCACGACUACCGACAAUGUUAGCAUACUCACCACCAGAAGCAAUUUCAUCAAUCGUCACAUCUACAACUGGCUCCGGCAUCGCAGCAAUGUUCAUCAUGCCAGCCACAGAAGGGACCACUCCGCCCCUUGUGACUACAGCAUCAUCGACUACCGAGCCAAUAGUUAGCUCGAAGGCCUCGGGGGCUAUUGGCUUGGGGGCUGGCGACACAAUCUCCACAGACACUUUACCGCCUACACUCACCGCUGCAUCUUCGGCAAUUCCGACUACUUCAGCCGAAGUAGUCACAUUUGGGCUAUCCAUUGCAGUAGUCUAGUCAAUACUUUCAUCAGGAUCCUCGACAGACUAAAGACAACAAGAUUAGCUUUCAACUCAAUCAAACUACUCAAUAUCUCAAAAACAAUUUUGCAUACCUUGGACAUCCACUUUUUCGUGGAAGAGAUCACCGAUGCGGUUGCCUUGUGUUCAAUGACCGGCCGUCUUCUCACCACAACUCGCGCUUCUUAGCCGGAGGGGCUGGGGGCUCAUCUUCACUAUCACCCCUGGCUUGCUAUUCAAUUUCAAAAGGUGAGGUCCAAUACCCGCCAACACUCGAGACUACAAAUUACAAUCAAUAUUUUACUCGGAAGGUUCUACUAGUCAAGAAAGCAAAUGACUACAAACAACAAAAGGGAAAAGAUCGCACAAGCAACUUACCUCUCUAGGCUCAUACUAGUUGUCAAACUUACGGAUGGCUUCAUCGACUACCGGUACUCCAUGGUAGUUCUUGAAAAACCUGCUCAAUAAUACCUCCACAUCAUCAUCAGAAAUGUCUUCAGAAGACAUAUGAAAUGGAACUUCAAAACCCAAGUACUCGAAGCCCCAACGAUCCUACUGCUGCAGAGGCUGUACCCUGCGCUUCAGGAAGCUCGCGGCCACAUUAACUCCAGUCAGGCUAGCUGCCUUCAACUCGCUGAUUCUAUCCAACAAUUCAGUAACCUCCUGAUCGUUUUCAUCCGGCUCUGCUACCCACUUGUCCGAAUAGUUCAUAGCAUGACCUGAGACUACUGGCAAAGUUGGAUCGUGGUUCCUGACAUAAAACCACCUUUUCUUCCAAUCACCAUGGGAAUCGGGCAACUCAUAGUCGAGAUAUGUCGUCAAGUUCCUCAGAUGAAUACCGGCUCCCCCAAAAACUUCAGUCCUUGCUGCACUAGGUUGCGGCUUGCAACGAAACAAUUUUCUGAACAACACGAAGCUGGGCAGAGUCUCCAGAUAUACUUCGCACAAAUGAACAAAGAUAGCCAAAUGCAGAACACCAUUCGGGUUCAAAUGAACAAGUUCAAUGCCAUAAUAGUUGAGAAUACCUCUGAAGAAGUCCAAAGUAGGGAGCGCUAGGCCUCUCUCAACGAAAGGUGCAAGCAUUACUGUCUCCUGAGGGUGUUCCUCAAAUUGCCACGCAUUCGCAUUCGUGGGUCUCCAUUCAAGCACACUCUUUGGCUGAAGCAACUUCACGUCCACCAACUCCUGGAUUGCCGAUUCCUUCAUGAUCGAGUGCUUCCAGGCCAUGCCUAGAGGCAGCGGAGCGGUUUGAUUGAUCGGGCCGCAUUUGGGUGGCAGUAGCUCAACUUCUUUGCCCUUUUUGGAUAUGGAUCCUUUCUUGCUCGCAGCGAUGGCCUACUCCUGAAUCUUCUCGGAUUUCUUGCCCAUCUUCUUGAUGCGCAUCCACUGGAUCAUGAGAGGCAGAUGGGAGGUGGUCGCGGCGACUACGGGUUGAGCUUGAGAAGAAGGAGCAAUAAUGGCGGCGGCGGCGGCAACAAAGGCAGCGGAGGUGCUAGGGUUGCGAAAGGGGCGCUCUCUCAGAUCUAAUGGAAUGUGUAAUGCAGGCAGCGCCAGGAUUUUUCUUUUAUGCUAGCACAACAGACAACAACGGUCGCGAGAUGUCGGGGAUUCACCCGAUAAUUGAGCAAUGAUCCAUUAUUGCAAAAGAUUUACCGCAAGAUAUGGAGUCCAACGGAUACGUUGACCAAGGAUUGACCCCUUCAUCAACUACAGGUAGUCGAACAAGUGCUCGGGGGCUGCGUAUAUCUCACCCGUCAGACAGUUUUUUCUCUGAAGACUAAAAGAAGUCGAGGGGAAAUUGCAAGUUUGACCCUCAGCUUGAUUCUUCGAUUCAACCUAAGGCUCAGGGGCUACUCCAUAUGGAGUGCGAUUGUCAUCGCACUACCAUAUAAAGGUUCAAAACAAAGGUUACUCGAAGCAACGUCAAGCGAAGCAGAGUACCUUCCAGCUAUGUGACAGUACUCAGAUACUCAAAGACUAGCCACGAGGAGCACUCAAUGAGCGUCAGAAAAUACUUGGGCGACAUCUUCAGAGUACUCGGAACUGUUCCACUCGACUACAAAGUACUCGAGGGCUUGUCAGGCAAUACAUCCCUGAGCCCACGAGUAGGCCCUGUACGGCCCAUCCAGGGGACGUACUCAAACGUGAUCAGGACAUGAAGACUACUCUGUAGGGCGCAUAGGCUUCAUGGACUCUCCGAAGACUAGUCGGGACAUAUGGAAACCACUCUACCGAGUUAGAGUAGGACUCUGUAACGUAUUCGAUUACAACUCCUGCACUCGAUCCGCCCUGUAACCCAGCUCCCUAACUAUAUAAGGGAGGGCAGGGACCCCUCCAGGGAAGGUAACACAACUCAUCAAUACAAUCCACACACAGGACGUAGGGUAUUACACGAUCUAGUGGCCUGAACCUAUCUAAAUCGUGUUCCCUGCAAUUGGCGCUAGAAAUCGGCCGAUCGAAUCUCUAGCGUCGGACACACGACCCGGGAGAAUCUGCUUAACUCCUGUUCGGGUGAUUGCCCUGGUACAGUUCGCGCGGCGUGCUAGCCAAUCUGACCUGUUGAUUGGCAAGGAAAGAAACGUGUCAGAUCCCAGAGGUUGCAAUCGGCUAAGGUUUCGAUCUCGAGAAAGCUUAUCAGCGAAUCGGCCGAUUUGCUAUAAUAAAGAAAUCGACUUAUAAUGUAGCCGAUUACGAGGCAACGUUGGUAAAGAAAACUACUACAGUAAUCUAAACAAUGCUAUAGUAGCAAAACUAGGAAUAGAUCUGAAUCAGCUAUGUAGAAAGUAGUAAUUUAGGUAAUAAGAUAUGAGAAAGCCGAAAGUUCAAUUCCAAGCUGGAUAACUGGUGAUAAAACUAGAAUGACAGGUAAAACCUAGAAUUCUAGUGGAUAUCGAUAACUAGUGAAUAAAUCUAAACGAAACGACUGCGAUGCACCUGAAGUUAAAGCUUAGAUAUUACAGAAUCGGCCGGAGAUCAAGUUGAUGUAGCCCCGCCAACCCGUACGAACUCGUGAAAAGAAGAAAAGUAUUGGCGAAGUUGCCUGCUUGAAAGUAAGUGUGAGGAAAAAGUAGUUUGUUGUAUUGAUUUGAUGAUGAUUACAGAUCUAUGAAGGCGGCUAUUUAUAGCCUGUUACAACCAAUUUCUUAACCGACUAGGACUCUAUCUCUAGUUUUAAACGAAAACAAAUUACAAGUAUGAUUCGUAUUGGAGUUGAUCAUCGCGAUCCCAUGGGCCGAUCUCUUCUCUAUCUUCACAGUUCAUUUUAAGUCCAUAUUGGCCCAAUUGCUUCAUCCUCCCAAUCGGCCGAUUCCACCAACUCCAUUCGCCGAAAUACUGCAGCACUAAUUGGCCGAUCCUCAACUGUAGCACCAAUCGGCCGAUUCCCAAUCGUGACCUCUGUGUCUUGCCGCAUCUCCUGAUUUCUUCCUUUCUUGACGCCGAUUUCAUACGUGUCAAAAUCUGGCGUCAACACAUGCCUCCCAGUUUCGGAGUAAAAUAUAAUCUUUACUUCGAAAUUCUUUUCAACUUUCUUUCCGAAACAAACGCAUUGAAAAUAUCCUUCCGUUUCGCGGUCUCCAGCCUGAUGAUUGCAAUCUUUUCAAAACGGGCGCCCACGACAACCACUCCUCCCGAAAAAAAUCAAAACGCCGGCGUGGUAAAAAUUCUGUUUUUACCCCUUCUCAGACCACCUUUAAAUAUCAGUACGUCCCGUACUCUUCUUCACGAGCUCACGUCUUCCUUCUUUGGCGCACUGAUCUUCUCCUUCCUCCGGCACCUUCCUUAGCCUCCAGUCUUUUCCUCUGGCAUCUCCUUCCAUCUACAUUCCACCCCACUUCUCCAAUGGCGACACCCUCAGGCACCUCUCCAACACCCGAAGCCCCAGAGAUGGCUCCACCAGCAGGAGCUCCAGCGGCAACGACAGUGGCUCCAUCGGCGGGAAAAGGAGCUCCAUCGGCGGGAGUUGGAGCUUUGACCGAGGUCCCAUCAGUGGCUUCAGCAUCCGCAGCUCCACCGGCGAUCCCGCCAACCACGAUGAGCUUCAUCCCAAAGGUUGUUACCGAAACUCCUCUUUCUUUAAUAACAAUGCAUUUACCUUAGAUCUGUUCUUACUUCCACCCCCUUUUUUCCUUUUUUAGGCGGUUAGACAUCAGAUUACCAUUCGUCUCACAGAAACUCCCGACCUUAUCUGUCUCGGUCCCAUGGGAAACCCAGAUCCAACCGACCUAAUCAAUUUGGAAACCCAUAGGAUCCCUUUUAAGAAAUCAACCAUGGACCUAGAUCAUUGGUCAGGUACCUUCAGAUCAUGGCCGAAUGAAAACUCGGCUGGAGAGAAUGGUACCAACGGAUAGCCGCCUCCAAGAGAGUCCAAUGGGAUGAGUACAAAAUCGACCAGUGCAUUGAUCUGUCUUUAUCCCAAAUGGAAAGGAACGAGCCCUUAGUGAUAGGAGCCUCCUAUUUUUGGUCUGAUGCCCUCAAUGCUUCCUCUUCGGACACGGGCCUAUGACCUUCACCUUGGCUGAUGUGGUCAUGUUGACCGGCCUUUACAUCUCCUCCCCUGAUACCCCUUUCCGUUAUCUAGCCAAAACAUCUCAUCGGCUGGAUACAAAAGGAAUCGGCGGAUGGAAAGGAUUCAUCAGAUGCAACAGAAGGGCCGGGAUAGUCGAAAAUAGAGAGCAUGCGGCCUUCCUAAUGAUGUGGCUAGAGAAACACUUUUUCUGCGGGAGAGCAGCCGGUCCAUCCACUAACACGCAGGCUCUGGCCGAGGCACUAUCCAUAGGGGCCUCUGUUCCCCUUGGAAAACACUUAUUGGGAUCGGCCUACCAUAUGCUGCACCAGAUCGGCGUCAAGCUGUCCCAAGGAGAGCCGAUUGGAAACCCAGGUGGACCCUGGUGGUUCAUCAACUUGUGGCUUAAUCUGUACAUGAGCAAGAUCUCCCAGCAAUGAGUGGAGCACAUGACGUUCCCCAAUAUCGAAUCGGCAGAUAAUCCCACUGUCCGACGCCGAUGUACAUCCUUCGACGAAGCGGCAUCGGCCUUUUCUGGUUCUUCAUAUUCUGCUACCAAGGUGGCCGAAUACUUUAGAUGCUUCUAUAAUGGCUUCAGCGAAGACGCAACCAGCUGGUUCCCUUAUCAGAGGGAGGAUCCACUCUUCGAACUCCCCUCUUAUUUUGACUCAGCCACUGGCAAAUUCGAUGAAGACCUCAUAGAUGAAUUAAUCAAGCCGGGGAUCUUACCGGCAAACUUCUUCUCGGGGACAAAUGCCCCUACUUAUGAGUUUUACAACCCCUCCGUCGCAGCACGGCAAUUCGGCCUGGGUCAACUGCCGAUUUAUGCAUACUUUGCCGGCCGAGCAAAGUUCAGAGACGAACUUACCAAGGGUCUUGACUACAGCCGGCUGCGUGAUCGGAUCCCAGAUUCCAGCACUAUAGAUCUGACCGGUUGGAUAGUAGCUCCUUUCGCCGUUCAGCAGUUCAAGUUAUGGUGGGCCGAAUGGAAGCAGUACCUGUUCUGCGCUUCUGCGGUGGUAUAUUGCAAUCUCCUAGAUCCAGACAACAUCGAUCCGAAUGCCGAGGUACCUCUCUCUUUCUGGCCGAUUUUCAUCUCCCUUCCUCUUUUUUUUUAUAUAUGUACUGACUCUUGCUAUUGCUUCAGUCUGAGAGCCACGCUCCCCCAAAACGCAGCCGGAGUGGUCGGCCGAUAGAGGACCGCUAUCCGUACAUAGCAUUCCCCCUCAUCGGCUAUCACGCACCUUCUGUUGAUGACAUAGCCGGCCGAGCGAAACAAGCGCAGAAGAAGGUCAUCAAGAAAACUAGUCGCCGAGUGCGUGCUCAUACAGAAUCGGCCGAUCCACCCGCGAUUGCAUCAGCAGAAAUUUCGGCUGCACCAACCCUUCUGAUUGCUGAAGAAGUCGACCUUCAAGCCGCUACAGAAGCUGGAGCAGCCGCCACAUCAUUAUUGGUGGAAGCUAUAAUACCUACUCACCGUCCGAUUUUCCUGAUCGUCAUUUCAAUACUGACCUUUCCUAUAUUAGGCUGCACAGAGUGCCCUAGUAAAUCCUCAGCAAUCAGCGGCGUCCCAAGCAGCUGUUGAAAUGCCAGCACCCCCUCCUGUUGAGGUACACGAUCUUUCAACUCAUUCCUCUAAUAUUUGAAUGAUGAUCUUACUAGCUUCGAUGCAGGUUACCGGUACGCUAACCACGCUAUACGAUCAGCCAUCGAUCACCCUUCAAGAGGCCGGUCUGAGCAGAGCGCCGAUUGUCGUUGAGUCCUCCUCUUCCAAUGAGCCAAUGGUGCCAGUUCCAGAGUCGAGAGUGGCGGUCUCACAAAUGCAGACGGAAGAAAUCCGCUUUAAAGAAGUAAGAAAUUUCCCAACCUUUAUCGGCCAAUUUGCUACCACCAUCGGCUGACUUAUUUUCUUUUCAUCUAUCAUUUUGCAGGAACAGGACACUCCCAAUAACAGCCUCUUCUCAUUUGCAGUCAUGCUCUCUGAUGAUGAGGAAGUUGCUUCCCCUCAAGUUACUUUGAGCUCCGUCCCUGAUGACGUCCGCGCUAAGCUUGAAAGCAUACGGUCCCUUCUUCAAGAGGACAUCGGCCGAUUGGUAGAGGACGCUUCACCGAUUCGGCAGCUCUUCGGUGAUGUUAGUGGGCGGGUCCUAGAGGAAGCAGAAGAAGCCUUGGCGCCGGCCGCUUACAUUGAGUCGAUGUGGAUCCCGGUCUUCAGGGCUCUGCGUCACAUGGCCGAUCGUGCCAAGCUGGCCAAGACUCGUGAGGAAGAGAACUCGUACAAGCAUCAGGCCCAGGAGGUACACCAACGAAUUCACUUUCUCGAGGACUCCCGCCCUGGACUCGUCGGCAUGAUAGAUCGCCUCAAACGCCAAAGAGCAGAACUUGCCAAGGAAAUGGAGCAAGUAACCAAGGAGAUAGCCAUUGAAGAGAAGAGGCUUCAGGAACUCCCCUCCGUUAUCGCUGAUUUAAAGCAGGAGAGGCAGCAUCUGGCCCAUGAAGCCCUUACACUCCAUCGCCAUAUGUCGGAAGUUCCAGGGUCGGCAGAGGAUGACCAACGGGUUUUGGACUCGGCCGAUCAGAUCCAGCGUCGAGCGAUUGCGGCCAUUAAUGCCCUUCUGGGUGAUCUGUAAAAGUACUGGUCGUUUUGUAAGAACAUUAAAGCCUUUUGAACAUCCUUCGCGGCUCCCUCUUAUUUACUACCCUUUAUACUCUGACGAGACGCAUCUUACCAAACUUCCACGCUUUCUCUACUUAUAAAUACCAGCCCUGGUUUCGCUUUUGAGAACACCCGCUCCAUUCGAUUCCUUUUUCCCGAUUUUGUUUCCAUCGGAGUGUUUGCAGUCAUGUCUUCUUCGUCUUCUUCUUCUCCCUCUGUCAAUCAGGUAUGAAAUCCGCCUCCACCUUUUUUAGUUCGAUUCCCUUAAAUCACCCCAACUUUUAGAUGGUUAUAUGUUGAUUUUUCAGCCAAGGCGCCUUAGCCCUAAACUCGAACGAGCAAUUGAACUUGUGUACUCUGAUGAGCCAUCAUCGCAAGAGGACAAGGACUUGAUUAAGGCACACCAUGAAGAACUUAGAGACCACGUCCCCGCCGACGUCCAACGGAUCUGGGACUUCAUCGACGGCAACGACUACAGGCAACCUCAAGUUGACAGGAGCCACCCACUUUCUCGUCCGGUUGCCCUUGAAGAUGCCGCGGCGGGGACAUCGCGCCCGGCGAUGGAUCGGAGUCAUCCUCUUCCUCGCCAAGUUGAAGCGGAGGCCGCGAUGAAGGAUAUGGAAGAACGAAGCAUCCGCCUUCUGAUAGAACUAGGCCGGAUUGAGUGAGAACUCAAGAAGAAGCGUGGUUGAUUAUUUUUUAUUCUAAGGGCGACUUGUAUUGCGUCGGCCGUGUAGUUUAUCAUCCGUACCGAAUGAUAAAUCAGCCGAUUUGAACGAUUAUAUUUUUUCUUUGGGCGAUUUUCCUUCCGUAUCAGCUGUGUGUUCGUUUCGGGAUAAACCCUUUGUCUUGUCAUACUCUACGAUCGAUUCUUAUGCUCCGACCCAUAUACUGGGGUAAUACCUUUUUAAGUAUCUCCCGUUCAAGGCCCUAGUAAACUCUUCUCCUUCGAUCAUUUCCAGAAUGUAAGCAUUUCCCGGGGCACAUCGGCCGAUUCUAUACGGUCCUUCCCAAGUGGGGGACCAUUUACCGAAUUUAGGAUCCUUUGCCCCAAUCGGCAACACUAACUUCCAUACCAGAUCCCCUUGGGAGAACUGCUUGACCUUGACCUUCUUAUCAUACCAUCUGGCCACUUUCUUUUUGUUUUCCUCGAUACUGAUCAAAGCUCUCAAUCGCUGUCCUGCCAAGUCGUCAAGUUCCCUUUUCAUGAGCGAGGAGUAAUUAUCAGCCGUCAGCUGAUCUUGGAGCGACGUACGUCUCGAUCCUGUUCUCAACUCCCAUGGCAAUACCGCCUCGUGACCGUACACCAAUUGAUAAGGAGACACCUUGGUAGCCCCGUGGCAGGCCAUCCUAUAUGCCCAUAGAGCUUCGGUCAGACAUAAAUGCUAUUUUUUGGGUUGUUCUUCUAUCUUCCUCUUGAUCAACUUAAUUAUCCCCUUAUUGGAAGAUUUGGCCUGACCAUUAGCCUGAGCAUAGUACGGGGAGGAAUUUAGUAGCUUGAUCCCCAUAUCAGCCGUGAACUCCUCGAACUCUCCCGACGUAAACAUCGUUCCUUGAUCGGUUGUGAUAGUCUGAGGGAUGCCGAAACGAUAGACAAUAUGGUCCCUCACGAAAUCGACCAUAGCGGCCGAUGUUAUGGCCUUUAAUGGAAUCACUUCCACCCAUUUGGUGAAAUAAUCUGUGGCUACCAGAAUGAAUUUAUGCCCUUUACUUGGCGGAGGAUAAAUUUGUCCGAUGAGGUCUAUUGCCCAACCUCUGAACGGCCAUGGCUUGAUAAUUGGAUUCAUAGCCGAUGCGGGCGCACGUUGCACAUUCCCGUAUUUCAGACAAUCUUGGCAUCCUUUAUAAUAUUUGAAACAGUCUUCGAGGAUUGUCAUCCAAUAGUAUCCAUUAUUCCUAAUCAUCCACUUCAUCUUAUGCGCCGAUUGGUGGGCUCCACAUACUCCUUCGUGGAUUUCUCCCAUCAAAGUCUUUGCUUCCUCUGUUCCUAGACAUUUGAGUAGAACACCAUCAAUCGUCCAAUAGAACAAGUCAUUUUCUAGUAAUACAUAUUUUGUGGCCUGAAACCGUAUUCGCCGAUCCACUUUCUUAGACGGAUCUUUCAAAUAAUCGGCGAUCUCUUUUCGCCAGUCGUCGGCCGCGAGCUCCAAAACCAUGGCGCCUUGAAUCAGCCGAUAUCCGGACGCGUGCUGGGCAAGCCUAUUGGCUUCUUUGUUAUGAUCCCUAGGGAUAUGCUCAAUAACCGUGGACUUGAAUUCUUUCAGGAGUUGGAGGCAAUCUUCGUAAUAAAUCCUUAAUACGUCAUCCUUGCAUUCGGACCUUCCUGUCCAUUGGUCCACGAUGAGCAUGGAAUCCCCAAAAAUCUCGACGGUGUCGGCCUUGGUCUCCCUUAGCAAUUGCAACCCUUUUAAAACGGCUCGGUACUCCACUUGGUUAUUAGUGGCGGAUGCUUCUAUCGGCAGAGAGAAAUCAUAACUUGCCCCCUGAGGCAACACGAGAACGAUGCCGAUUCCUGAUCCGGCCCCACAUGACGAACCAUCAAAUUAUAAGGUCCACGGUACUGGCUCCACGACGGCGAUUUCUGGUCCGCAGUGCUGGGCGACAAAAUCGGCCAUAACCUGACCCUUGAUGGCUUUUGCCGAUUCGUAUCGUAGAUCGAACUCUGAUAAAGCCAAGAUCCAUUUUCUGAUUCGUCCUUUCAAAAUCGGCAAUGACAGCAUGCAUUUUACUACGUCGUCUUUGCAUACGACUACACAUUCUGCCGAUAACAAAUAGUGUCUGAGUUUGGUGUAGGAGAAGUAAAGGCAUAGGCAUAGCCGCUCUACCGGGGGAUAUCUUGUUUUGGCUUUCAGAAGUCUUCUGCUAACAUAAUAUAUUACCCGUUCCUUUCCUUCAAACUCCUGGACCAGGGCCAACCCGAUAGCUCGUUCAUCGGCUGAUAAAUACAGCUUAAAUGGCUUAUCAGCUUGAGGUGGGACCAAUACUGGUGGCGAGACCAAGUACUGCUUAAUGUCCUCUAGCGCCUUGCGUUGCUCUUCUCCCCAUAAGAACUCUUGGUUGGGUUUUAACUUUAACAAUGGUGUGAAGGUCUGGAUAUGUUCGGAUAGAUUGGAUAUGAAUCUUCUGAUGAAAUUGACCUUGCCGAUCAAGGACUGCAACUCAGUUUUAUUCUGUGGGGCCACAACCUUAUUGAUGGCCAUUAUGGUCUUCCGGUUGAUCUCUAUCCCAUGCUUGUGAACCAUGAAUCCCAAGAAUUGUUCGGCGGAUACGCCGAAAGCACACUUGUUCGGGUUCAUCUUCAGCCCAUGUUUUCUCGUGCAUUCCAGUACCUGCUGCAAAUCGGCCAGAUGUUCUUGGUGCCCUUUUGAUGUGACUACGACGUCAUCGAUGUAGAUUUCCACCAGAAUGCCGAUAAGUUUGUGAAAUAUGUAAUUCAUGGCUCGUUGAUAUGUAGCGCCGGUGUUCUUCAAACCGAAAGUUAUUACCACCCACUCGAAUAAACCAAGGUGACCCGGGCAUCUGAAAGCCAUUUUUGAUAUAUCCUCCUCGGCCAUUAGUAUCUGAUUAUAUCCGGCGUUUCCAUCCAUGAAACUAAUAACUUUGUGACGCGCGGCGGCAUCUAUUAGUACAUCGGCCGUCGGCAUUGGGUACCCGUCCAUUGGCGUGGCUUGAUUGAGGUUCCUGAAAUCGAUGCACACGCACAACUUCCCAUUCUUUUUGUAUACGGGUAUAAUGUUGGAGAUCCAUUCGGCAUAACGGCAUUGCCGAAUAAAUUUUGCUUCAAUUAGCCUCAUGAUUUUGGCCUUUAUAUCGGGUAAGAUUUUAGGAUUACAUCGCCGUGCAGGUUGCUGAUAUGGCCGAUAUCCCGGCUUUAUGGGCAACCGGUGUUCGACAAUACACCGGUCUAAUCCGAGCAUCUCAUGGUAUUUCCAAGCAAAGCAAUCUUUAAACUCUUUUAAUAAACUUGUCAAUUUACAUUUGUAUUCCGGAUCCAAAUUAGCACUGAUGUACGUCGGCCUUGGCUUGGUGCCAUCACCUAAGUCUAUCAUUUCUAAUGAAUCGGCUGACAUGAACACGUGCCCUAGCUCCCCGUCUUCCUGGAUGGACUAAUCCAUUUAAUUUGAAUCUUCAGAGCCGACUGCUCGGAUCGGCUGUAGACCAAAAUCGGACACCUUCAGAAAAUCAGUGUCCCAUAUCCUCCCGGAUAUGCACUUGACAUUCUCGCAGCUCCAUUGUUGUGUAUCGGGCGCUGCGACGCUGUAUGCGGAACCGGCGGUGACCACUUCGAUGUUGUCGCCGACCCACUGCACGAGGCAUUGGUGCAUUGUAGACGGGAUGGAGCAAUUUGCGUGUAUCCAGUCUCGGCCGAGUAGCAUGUUGUAGGACCCUUCGCCAUUAAUAAUAAAGAAAGUAGUGGGAAGGGUCUUACUGCCGAUGGUGAGGUUGACGCAGAGCACGCCGCGGGCGGGAGACACGUUGCCUUCGAAGUCUUUGAGCAUCAUGUCCGUCUUGGUCAAAUCGUCGUCACUUUUUCCUAGCUUCCGGAACAUGGCGUACGGCAUGAUGUUAACAGCAGCUCCUCCGUCUACUAGUAAUCUGGUGAUGGGUCGGCCGUUGACAUGUCCCUUGAGGAACAAUGCCUUGAGGUGUUGCCGUUUGUCGUCCUCGGGUUUCUUGAAUGUGGUUGUCAUUGGCUCUAAAGCCAUUUGCGCCAUAUAUUCUUCUAUUGCCGACAUAUUAUGUCGGUCGGCAGGAGUCAUGAAUUCCAUCUGCAGAAUAAAAACCAUGUUGACAUCGGCUGCCGAUCCCUGGUUGUCGUCGUCUUCCCUGUCAUUUCUUUUGGGGCGCCAAAUCCGAGGCCUAUCGUUUUUCUUGUCCAUCAUAUGUUGUUGCUCUUCUUCCUGUUGUUCCCAUUGGCGAAGACGUUGAAUUCUUCGUUUUUGAGAUUUAGUCAGUCCAUCAGGGCACCAUCUGGGGUUUACAGGUUUAGUCAAUGGUUUGGCGCGUUCCCAUUCUGGUUCGCGUCCCAAGGGGUUCUCGUCUGAUACCCGAGCAUCGGCCAUUUCUUCCAGCCGAUUAUGAGCGCUGACUCUAUCUUCUGGUUGGUUGCGCCAAUCGAAUCUGCCCCCCGGCCUAUCAUCUCACUCACGCCUAUCUUCCGACCGGUCGUAUCGGUCACUUCUGCCCCCCAGCCGAUCACGCACUGAAGGGCGCCGGUCCUCUUGCUCGCGCCAGUUCCUGCUGAUCAGCUCUGGCCUUCCAUCUCUGGAACGGGACCUCCUGAAUGGCCGAUUGUUACGAUAUGGGCAAUUGCACUCAGGGCAAUUAUCGGCCGACGGCAGCCUAAGGUUACUCUCCCAGCAGUGGAUGAAGAACGGGCAUCGCCAGUGAUCUUCAUGCCGUUGCAUCAUCUCUUCCCGGAAUCUUGAACUUUCCUGCUGUCGUUGAUAUUUGUUGAGGAGAAAUUGGGAGGUGACGGGCCUGCGUGGUUCUCCCGAUUCUUUGCCUUCAUCCUCCAUCCGUCGUUUCCCCUUGAUGUCUUCGGGCGCCGCUUGAUUUCUAGGGUCUACGACGCUGCUCUUUUUAGCCGAUUCAGACGUUAGCACCUUGGUCUGGAGUGAAUUUCUUCCCGUGUCAACCAUGUUGGUGGGGAAGGGUGCUGAUAUAUCUUCAUCGGUUUGGCCGGCUUUGCCGGGACUUCAAAUUUGAGCCUGCCUUGUUCGAUGGCCGAUUGAAUCUGCUGUCAGAAGAUUUUGCAUCCGUUUGUAUCGUGGGAGGUGGCGUUAUGCCACUUGCAAUAUUUCAUCUUCUUCAGCUGCUCGGCCGACGGGAUCGUAUGGUAUGGUGAGAGCUUGAUUUCUCCUUCCUGAAGGAGAAGAUCAAAAAUUUUAUCGGCCUUUGAUGUGUCGAAACCGAAUGCCUUUGGCUCCUUUUUCCCGAACGGACAUGAUAUCGGCUUUUUUCCUUUAACCCAUUUUGCAAGGCCGAUUUUUGUUUCUUCUUCGGACUCAGCCCCUUCCAAAUACGCAACCUUUUUCUGGAAAUUCCUUCGCGGGUCAAAGGGACGUACUUCCUGACCAGACAAUCGAUGCACGAUUUGGCUCAGGCUCUCAAACUCCUGUGAAGCAUAUUUCUCCUUGAUGUGAGGCAGGAGACCCUGGAAGGCUAUGUCGGCCAAUUGUGCGUUGGUCAGGGCUAGGGUGUAGCAUUUGUUCCUGAUCUCUCUAAACCUCUGUACGUACGAGGAUACCGGCUCAUCACUUCUCUGUCUGAGGCUGGUUAAAUCUGAAAGCUUCAUCUCGUGUACCCCCACAUAGAAGUAUUUGUGAAAUUGCCUCUCCAGGUCAGCCCAUGUAAUUAUUGAGUUGGGCGGCAGCGUAGUAAACCAUUGUAAGGCCGACCCGGACAGGGAUGACGAGAAAAGGCGCACCCGUAGAGCAUCUUGUGCGACUGCCUCCCCACAUUGGAUGAUGAAUCUGUUCACGUGUUCCACAGUUGAGCUAUCGUCCAGCCCCAAAAACUUGGUGAAGUCAGGAACUUUGUACCGAUGGGGAAACGGCAGUAAGUCGUAAGUAGGCGGGUACGGCAUUCUGUAUGUGUAAGUUUGCACCUUCGGCUUCAAGCCGAACUGCUCCUGAAUCACCUCCGCUAUGCGCGCCAUCCAGUCUGGUUGUUGUUGAUGGACUAUCGGCUGGGGAACCGGCACAUGUUGAUAGACCAGCAGCGGGAUGACCGGGUGGUGGAUGAAAGCAUGCGGCGCCUGAUGCGACGCGGCCGGCUGCAUAGUCAGCAUCGGUUGUCUCAGUGAACCGGCCAUUUCAUCAUAUAGUACGAUCGGCGCAGCGCCCCGAAGUGCUUCCGUUGCUUCUGCCCCCCUGCUCAUCUCCGGCGUGACUGGCUGAUACUGUGGCAUCAUCGGCCGCAUGGCCGAUUGGAAAGGUGCCUGGAUCGGAGAGCUUCCAUGGCUGGCCGAUUGAUCCUGGACGGCCGUGGCCGAUGGUGCCCCCCAAGGUAUUGAAUUCAAAGGAGACCACUGCGCCGGGGAUAACUGAAUGGAUUGCAGCUGGAGAUAUGGUGCGCCGUUAGGUCCUAGAGAGAUUGACGAUGAAGGGGUGCUGGAACCUCCAGUCGAAGCUUGGAUCGGCUGAGGAGCCGAAUAGGGUAUACUUGGAUAACUCCUGGUCAGGGCCGUGAUAGGUGGGGCGUACGCCGGCCCCUGGUAUCCCUGGGACACGCCGUUGGCCAGGGAGCUGAUGAUGGCAUUAUAUACCGUAUAAGAAAUCACCGGGGAUUGAUCAAUGAAAGCUUGGUAGACCGAUUGUUGAACCAUCUCGGACAUCUUGCCCGAGUCCUCGGCGAUUGUGAUCUGGCGGGGAGUUGGAAACGGAGCCUUUUUGACAGCUUCCCCACUCCUGGUACGACUGAAGGAUUGUAGACAUGUCUUCCGGUAGUAUGCCAUCUGCUUUUCCAAUUCUUCCUUCUGGUCGUCCUUGAGGUCUGCUUCCGUUACCUCGAUGACGUUGUCUUCCGAGAUUUCGGCAACUUUCGACAUAGUGGUGGUUGUAUUGGUCCCACCGGGCGUGCCAAAAGUGUGUUGGCGCUAGAAAUCGGCCGACCGAAUCUCUAGCGUCGGACACACGACCCGGGAGAAUCUGCUUAACUCCUGUUCAUGUGAUUGCCCUGGUGCGGUUCGCGCGGUGUGCUAGCCAAUCUGACCUGUUGAUUGGCAAGGAAAGAAACGUGUCAGAUCCCAGAGGUUGCGAUCGGCUAAGGUUCCGAUCUCGAGAAAGCUUAUCAGCGAAUCGGCCGAUUUGCUAUAAUAAAGAAAUCGGCUUAUAAUGUAGCCGAUUACCAGGCAACGUUGGUAAAGAAAACUACUACAGUAAUCUAAACAACGCUACAGCAGCAAAACUAGGAAUAGAUCUGAAUCGGCUAUGUAGAAAGCAGUAAUUUAGGUAAUAAGGUAUGAGAAAGCCGAAAGUUCAAUUCCAAGCUGGAUAACUGGUGAUAAAACUAGAAUGACAGGUAAAACCUAGAAUUCUAGUGGAUAUCGAUAACUAGUGAAUAAAUCUAAACGAAACGACAGCGAUGCGCCCGAAGUUAAAGCUUAGAUAUUACUCGAUAAGCGGAACUUACAGAAUCGGCCGGAGAUCAAGUUGAUGCAGCCCUGCCAACCCGUACGAACUCGUGAAAAGAAGAAAAGUAUUGGCGAAGUCGCCUGCUUGAAAGUAAGUGCGAGGAAAAAGUAGUUUGUUGUAUUGAUUUGAUGAUGAUUACAGAUCUAUCAAGGCGGCUAUUUAUAGCCUGUUACAACCAAUCUCUUAACCGACUAGGACUCUAUCUCUAGUUUUAAACGAAAACAAAUAUUUACAAGUAUGAUUCGUAUUGGAGUUGAUCAUCGUGAUCCCAUGGGCCGAUCUCUUCUUUAUCUUCACAAUUCAUUUUAAGCCCAUAUUGGCCCAAUUGCUUCAUCCUCCCAAUCGGCCGAUUUCCACCAACUCCAUUCGCCGAAAUACUGCAGCACUAAUCGGCCGAACCUCAACUGUAGCACCAAUCGGCCAAUUUCCAAUCGUGACCUCUGUGUCUUGCCGCAUCUCCUGAUUUAUUCCUUUCUUGACGCCGAUUUCAUACAUGUCAAAAUCUAGCGUCAACACCUGCGUCACCAUCGACUCCUUGAUUCUCAGUGAAACCCACCGCACAAAACACCACCUCGGGUACUCCCUAGGCGGGUUGCCAGUAUAAAACACUGACACCCUAUUUACUAAAUGAAUAAAACCUCUGAGGUUGUUUACGUACCUACUACCUUACUGUUCCUGUGUCCGAGCUGUUCCUCACGCUCGGGGGUUGUCCGACCUAUUCAACAGACCACUAGCUUUCAAGCUCGGGGGCUUCCCCCAGGCGCUGACCCCUAGGUCUCGCAUCCUUCUCCUCCCCCUCUCAAGGUAAUACGACUAACUCGUGUGAUCGGCAUUCUAGUUCGUGAAACCUAGACAACCUUGCGUUCACCGCUCCAACAAGCUCGAGAUCCACUCUCAGCAGGACGCUAGUCAAGCAGUGCUACGUGCUUAGAGGCUAUAGGCCUUAGCUACAUGUUGUCCUAUCGUAUACACCAAGGGAGGGAUGGAGUUCUUUUCUUCUCGCAUACGUCAAGUCAAGUUGCAUCACAUGUCUUAUCAUACAGUUUGAUACAGCAUACAGUUUAAUUUUACAAGUCUAGAUCAUUGACAAUGUUUACUGCUACAUCAUUAUACUAGUCGGCCAGUUUUGGAAGAUUCUCCACAUUGAAGUUGGCUGCAACCCCUCCUCCAGCAUGCUCCAAGGGGAUCCGCAAGAAGUGUGUCUUUAGCACCGCCAAGAUGUUCUUGACGCACUCCAUCGCAGUGUCCUUCAACAGCUCUUUUAGCUGACCUGGCACGGCUUUGAGGCGAUCAAGCAGUGGCGUUGGCGCAGUCGGGUCCAUCUCUGGUCGAACCAUGUCCAUCACAUAGCCGACUGCCUUAUGAAGAUCCUCCAGCUCCACCUCUAACCCUGCAUCCACCAAUUGGUCAUGCUGAAGACUACGCGUUGCAGCCUCUAAGCAGCACUCAGUAUCUUUGCACGCAUUGGCUUCAUAAGUCAGCUUCUGCGACAUGGCAUACUCACGAUGAACCGCCACAUCAUGUUCUUGCUAAAGCCGAGCAUUCGAGUCCUCGCACUCUUUAAGGUUUCACUUGAGCCUUUGCUCCCUCACCGCGGCAUCUGCUCAUUUGAACAAAUUUACACCGCGACUUCAAGGAUAAAACCAAUUCAACAGGUCAGCACAACGUACCUUUCAAGUGCGCAGCAAGAAUCUCUUCCUUCAGGGCAUGAUCCAGGUCUUUUUGCACAGCGUCCUCUUUGGCCUUCUUGAGGUCAGCCUCAAGUCGCUCUGCCUUCAAGCGAUAGUGCUCGACUUGCUAGAUCACGUCCAGCCUCUUAUGAGCACACUCAGCAAGACCCUGCUUACAUUAUAACAAUUAGAGCUCUACAAAGAAACUAGAUUUCAGAUAUAAGUUCCUCGAGUUGGUCGGCACACUUACAAAAAGCAGCUUGGAAAUUUCGGAUGACGAUUGUUGCAGCUUGGCAAGAUCUUUCUUGUCUUGUGUUGCAUCCCUAGCAAGGUCGGACCCGAAGAGGUCCAAUGUAUCAAGAUCUUCUCCACCUUGCACGCUAACGUCAGCGUCCCCAACGAACCUCUCUAGCAGUGAUCAUCCCUGGGAAACUCCUCCAGUUGAGGCUCGGCUCUGGCACCCUCACCACACACCUGCCUGACCACAGAGUCGACCAUAGUAGCGUCCGCAGCCCCGAAGCCGACUUCGCCUUGUUGCAGCACCGGGUCUGGUACAGCUUCCCCGGCGAGACCAUCUUGAUCCACCCCAACAUUCAGAGGUAGCGGCUGUUCAACGGUGCAGCCGCUCGCCCCCGCGGUCUGGGUUGAGCAACCAGUCAGCUGCGCACUAGAUUCAUCAUCCAGCACGGCACUCCUGCAUUGUCAUUACGAGAAGUAAUUUAAGCAAGACAGGUGGUGAAAAUAACCACAAGACAAACAGUAUAACCAGAUCGCACUUGCAUAGGGGUAUUCUUCUUCACCCAGAACUUGGGGCGCAAGGGCGGUGGUGGCACCGAUACAUCCCCACUAGACCCCCCACGGAUCUUCACCUUCAAUGUCUCCUUGACAUGCUCCGCAUCGGUCAUGGUCAUCUCAAGGAGCUCGGACUUCUUCUUUGCAGGCGGGCUUAGCAUGUCGGACUCCUCGUCCGCUUUGCUGGCCGACCUGGCCGUGGAGGCUACGCUCAAGGCAGCCUUCUCCUUCUCCUUCCCUUUCUUCCCGGCCAUCUUCCUCCUCUUGCCGCUCGACUUCUGAGUUUGGGAGGCUGGAAGCUUCUUCAUGACCUGUCGUGCCCGGCGUCCCACUAGCUCGGAGUCCUUGGCUUGGCCAACCUCUUCUAACACGCUCUCGUCCGACCCGAUGGAGGAGUCUAGCUCCCAAUCAAUGCUGGCUAACGGCUCAUCGGACUAGAUGGUCGGGCGGAUCUUGGGCCGCUGCUACUCGACCCCUCCAGGAAGCGGCGCCGGGCAAAAGAAUUCAAAUUCAUAGUUCUGGUCAAUUAGUAAGAACUGUUAGAGACAACACACAAGCACAAUAGGAAUGUCAAAUCAAUGCAAUUCAGAUAAUACCGGGUCGGCUGGCCUCUUGAGGGAAAAUGCUUUCGGACAGCUCUUGUUCUGGAUAAGGCCACCAAAAAACUCGCUGACCCGAUUGGUGACUUCUUGCUUAGUCACGUUUCGCUGGACCUCUCUAGUUGGGUCCAGUGGCCCUGUAUACUCAUACGCCGGAUGAACUCUAUUCUAGAUCGGCUGCGUCAAUCUCCAGCAGAAAUUGAUACUAACAGCCCUGGUUGUGCGUCCUCGUACCUUCAAGUUGGCGAUCUUCUCCAGCAGUUGCUUCACUUGCACCAGCUCCUCCGAGGUCGACUGGUUCAACCACUCGGGCAUGCUCACUAACCUAUAUCCAGUACACGGCGAGAGCUCGGGCUGCUGGUUGAUAACUGUGCACUACUCCUUGUGCUAGCCUUGUUGGAUUCCUUCAACUGGAGAUGAAAGUACUCUUGCACUCUCUUCAGCCGCAGAGAAAAACCACAUCCUCCAAUUACUCUAAGCUUCCCCUAGUCGACACAACUUACGACUGGUACAGAUACUUCCAGAGAUUGAAGUGUGGGGGAAUGCCCAAUAGUGGAGAAGACCCCGGAAGAAGUCCCCGCACGAGAUCCCGAAUCUGUGCUGAAAGAACAAUGUGAAGACCACUGUCUCCGUCUUGUCUUCCGUGGGGAAAUCUUGCCCGGCGAUCACCUUCCAGUUGAGCAGCGCCUCGGGCCCCAGGAGGCCCCGGUCGAUGAGCGCCUGGAUGCGUUCCUCCGUCAUCACGGACUUCAUCCUGACCGAGGAUGGAUCUAGAAUCUGCGCUUGCACCAUUUCUUCGGUUUCUACUCCUUGUGAUUUGGAUCUAAUACCCACAAGGGUCUUGAUGCACAUACAGCGGCACAGCGGCUCCGGUGGCGGCGGCGAAGUGUGCACGAGCAGUUUGAAAUCGUGGUGGCGCGGCCUAGGGUUCACGGGCGCGACGACGAUGUGCUCUGUGGACUGUGGUGGCGGCGACACGAGUGUGGCGGAUGGAAAUGAAAACAGAUUUGCGCCCCUUGGGCUUUUAAAGGAUGCGACGGCAUAACCCUCACAACGGAAUAUGCGGAUUUUCCGUUAUUGUGGCGCACGCACCGGACGGAGUCUGCAAGUUUUCUGUUAUGCUUUCAACAGCAUGCCUCCACGGCUCCACCAGUCUUCAUCCUCGGGGGCUGGGCACAUAUUUCAGGUAGGUGCGCCCCCGCGGCUCUGCCAGUCCUCGUCCUCGGGGGCUGGGCGCCUAUUUUAGGUUAGCAUGCCCCUAGGGCUCCGCCAGUCCUUGUCCCCGGGGGCUGGAUGCCUAUUUCAGGUCGGCGUGCCUCCGUGGCUCCGCUAGUCCUCGUCCUCAGGGGCUAGGCGCCUAUUUCAGGUCGGUGUGCCUCCGUGGUUCUGCCAAUCCUCAUCCUCAAGAGCUGGGCGCCUAUUUCAGGUUGGCGUGCUUCCGCGGCUCUGCCUGUCCUCAUCCUCGGGGGCUCGAUGCUUACUUUUGGUCAACGUGCCUUCGCGGCUUCGACUGUCCUUGUGCUCAGGUGCUAGGAUAUGCCUUUGGGAUUAAUUUUUUAUUUUUGACCAUUGGACGGAUUAUACUAAUCGCUUCAAUGCUCGGGGGCUACUCAUAGAGUGCGUCUUGCGACGCCCUCCAUGUCCUUCAUUUCUACCUACUGCAUGCCCGUUAUCCAUCAACCCCGCACUCAACUUCGCUCUACGUGUAUGGCUCUGCGUUCGCUUGAAUUUUCUUCUUUUUUGAGCACUGCGCAGCCUUUCCAUCACCAUGAUGCCAUCGCAGCUUCAGCCGACCACAUUCCAAGCUUCGCUGUGAUGACCUCAAGUUCCUGUUCGCCUACACAUCGCUCGGGGCCUUGAGGGAUAUGGGUACCCCAUGGGUCCCCACCGACCAGGAUACUGGCCGAUCCUGAUAAGUGGACCCGCUCAACUAGAACGUGCGGGCUAAGGACAUGAAGAUACUUGGAGUACAAGUCAAGGAGGUCAGGCGAUUCAAAUCAGCCCGGAUAUUGUGGGAUACGUAUUGUAAUCCGACUCAGAUUAUCUUCUAUAUAACAAUCGACUAGAUUAGAUUCAAACCGACUUGUAACCCUAUAUAAGGCGGCCAAGGACGCCUCCCAAGGGCAUCCAAUCCCAUGUCAACUAUCCGCGAACAAUACCAAUAAUACAAUCCACCAAAAUAUAGGAUGUAGGGUAUUACUCUUCGAAGGCCCAAACCUGUCUAAACCCUCAUGUUCUCGUGAUCUUGGUCUCGCAAUCCUCCCUGCCUACAAAUCAACCACUUGGGUAACCCCCUGCUGAACUGCCGGGCUACUAAAUCCGACACCUAGAUUAGCAUUAGGGUAACAAAACAUACCAUUUUGAGCUUAAUGCCCCUAUUGCUGAUGCUAUCUCCGCCACCGGGUGCCGGGCACUGCUCGCCAUCAUAGAGCGCAGAAGUUGGUGUAGUGGUGCUCAUCGUGGCUUCCUGACGGCGAGGCGGAGCAGCGUAUCGGCUGCCAAAAGAGUCCGGUGGCAUUUCGUAGUCCUGGGCAGUCGUUACUAUGUUGCGGCGAACGGUCGAUAGAGGCAGCGUGGCGAAGUUCGCAGGAUGCGGCGGCCAUGGCCACGUAGUGAAGGUGGCGGACUGCAGAGCGCGGACGUCGAGGAAGCAGUGCGCGGUGCCAGCAGUCGAAGGGGAUAACUUGUUGACGCCAGAUUUUGACACAUGUGGAAUUGGCAUCAAGAAGGGAGAGAAUUGGCUGAUGCGGCGAGGCACGAAGGUCACGAUUGGGAAUCGGCCGAUUGGUGCUACAGUUGGAGAUCGGCCGAUUGGUGCUGUAGUAUUUCGGCGGAUGGAGUUGGUGGAGAUCGGCCGAUUGAGAGGCUGGAGCAGUUGGGCCAAUAUGGGCUUAAAGUGGAUUAUGAAGAUAAAAAGGAGAUCGGCCCAUAAGGAGCGCGACGACCAACUCCGAUACGAGUUAUGCUUGUAAAUAUUCGUUUUCGUUUAAACUUAGAGAUAGAGUCCUAGUCGGUUAAGAGAUUGGUUGUAACAGGCUAUAAAUAGCCAUCGUUAGAGAUCUGUAAUCAUCAUCAAAUCAAUACAACAAUCUACUAUUUCCUCACACUUUACUUUCAAGCAGGCGACUUCGCCAAGUACUUUUUCUCUUUUCACGAGUUCGUACGGGUUGGCGGGGCUGCAUCGACUUGAUCUCUGACCAAUUCUGUAAGUUCCAUUUAUCGAGUAAUAUCUAAGCUUUAACUUCGGGCGCAUCGCUAUAAUUUUGUUUAGAUUUAUUCAUCAGCUAUCGAUAUUCACUAGAAUUCUAGGUUUUACCUGUUGUUCUAUUUUUAUCACCAGUUAUCCAAUUUGGAAUUAGAGCUUUCAGCUUACUUAUAUUUAUUGCUUAAUCUACUGCUUUUUGCAUAGCCGAUUAGAUCUGUUCCAAGUGUUGCUACUGGGGUAUUUUAGUUUACUCUAGCAGUUUUCUUCACCAACGUUACUUAGUAAUCGGCUGUAUUAUAGCCGAUUUCUUUAUUACAGCAAAUCGGCCGAUUCGUUGAUAAGCUUCCUCGAGAUCGGAACCUUAGCCGAUCGCAACCUCUGGGAUCUGACACGUUUCUUUCCUUGCCAAUCAACAGGUCAGAUUGGCUGGCACGCUGCGCGAACCGCACCAGGGCGAUCACCCGAAUAGGAGUCAAGCAGAUUCUCCCAGGUCGUGUGUCCGACGCUGGAAGUUCAAUCGGCUGAUUUCUAGCGCCAACACACUUUUGGCACGCCCGGUGGGACCAAUACAACCACUACCAUGUCGAAAGCUGUCGAAAUCUCUGAAGACAACGUCAUCGAGGUGACGGAAGCAGACCUCAAGGAUGACCAGAAGGAAGAGUUGGAGAAGCAAAUAGCACACUACCGAAAGAUGUGCUUACAAUCCUUCAGUCGUACAAGGAGCGAGGAAACUGUCAGGAAAGCUCCUUUUCCAACUCCCCGCCAGAUUACAAUCGCCGAGGACUCGGGCAAGAUGUCCGAGAUUGUUCAACAGUCUGUCUACCAAGCUUUCAUCGAUCAAUCCCCGGUGAUAACUAAUACGGUAUACAAUGCCGUCAUCAGCUCCCUGGCCAAUGGCGUGUCUCAAGGCUACCAGGGGCCAACGUACGCCCCACCUAUCACAGCCCCGGUCAGGAGUUCUCCAAGUAUACCCUACUCGGCUCCUCAGCUGAUCCAAGGUCAGCCUGGAGGAUCUAGCGCUCCUUCGUCAUCAAUGCAUCUGGGAUACAACGGCGCACCAUACCUUCAGUCGCAUGCGCCACCUCAACCCACUCAGAUUUCUCCCGCGCAAUUAUCUUCACUGAACUCAGUGCCUUGGGGGGCACCAUUGGCGUCAGCCGGCCAAGAUCAGUCGGCCGGCUAUGGAAGCUCUCUGAUCCAGGUGCCUUUCCAAUCGGCCGUGCGGCCGAUGGUCCCACAGUAUCAACCAGCCGCGCCGGAGACGGGCAGGGGGGCAGAAACAGCAGAAGCACUUCGAGGCGCUGCGCAGAUUGUACUAUACGAUGAAACGGCCGGUUCACUAAGACAACCGAUGCCGACUACACAACCGGCCACGUCACCACAAGUGCCGCACGCCUUCAUCCAUCACCCGGUCAUUCCACCGCCGAUCUACCAACACGUGCCGGUUCCCCAGCCAAUAGUUCAUCAACAACAAGCAGACUGGACGGCACGGAUAGCAGAAGUGAUUCAAGAGCAAUUCGGUUUAAAGUCGAAGAGGCAAACCUACACAUACAGAAUGCCAUACCCACCUACCUAUGACUUACUGCCGUUUCCCCAUCGGUAUAAAGUUCCUGAUUUCACCAAGUUUUCGGGACUUGAUGAUACCUCAACUGUGGAGCACGUAAACAGGUUUAUCAUCCAAUGUGGGGAGACAACUACACAAGAUGCUCUACGGGUGCACCUCUUCUCGUCGUCUCUGUCCGGGUCGGCCUUCCAAUGGUUUACUACACUACCACCCAACUCCAUAGUCACUUGGGCUGACUUGGAGAAGCAGUUCCACAAGUACUUCUACGCGGGGGUGCAUGAGAUGAAACUCUCGGAUCUAACCAGCCUCAGACAAAGGAGUGAUGAGCCGGUGUCCACAUACGUGCAGAGGUUCAGGGAAAUCAGAAACAAAUGCUACACCCUAGUCCUAACCGAUGCAUAGUUGGCCGAUAUAGCCUUCCAAGGUCUCCUGCCUCACAUCAAAGAAAAAUAUGCUUCACAGGAGUUCGAGAGCCUGAGUCAAAUCGUACAUCGACUGUCUAGUCAAGAAGUACGCCCCUUUGAUCCAUGGAGAAAUUUCCAGAAGAAAGUGGCAUACCUAGAAGGAGCUGAAUCCGAAGCGAUAAAAUUUUCGAUCUGCUCCUCCAGGAAGGACAAAUCAAGCUCUCACCAUACCAUACAAUCCCGUCGGCCGAGCAGCUAAAGAAGAUGAAGUAUUGCAAGUGGCAUAAUGCCACCUCCCAUGACACGAAUGAAUGCAAAAUCUUCCAAUAGCAAAUACAAUCGGCCAUUGAGCAAGGCAGGCUCAAGUUCGAGGUCCCGACGAAGCCAGCAAAGCCGAUGAAGAUCGAUCAUCAUCCCUUCCCCACCAACAUGGUUGAUACAGGAAGGAACUCACUCCAGACCAAGGUGCUAACAUCAAAAUCAGCUAAAAAGAGCGGCGCCAUAGACCCCAGGAAUCAAGCGGCGCUCGAAGACGUCAAAGGGAAACGAUGGAUGGAGGAUGAAGGCGAAGGAUUGGGAGAACCACGCAGGCCCAUCACCUCCCAAUUUUUGCUCAACAAGUAUCAAAAGCAACAAGAAAGUUCAAGAUUCCGGAAAGAGAUGAUGCGACGACAUGAAGAUCACUGGCGAUGCCCGUUCUUCAUCCACUGCUAGGAGAGUAACCUUAGGUUGUUGUCGGCCGACAAUUGCCCAGAAUGCAACGGCCCAUAUCGCAACAAUCGGCCAUUUAGAAGAUCCCGCUCCAGAGAUGGAAGGCCAGAGCCAAUCAGCAAAAACUGGCGCGAGCAAGAAGAUCGGCGCCUUUCAGUACGUGAUCGGCUGGGGGGCAAAAGUGACCGAUAUGAUCGGUCAGAAGACAGGCGCGAGCGACAUGACAGGCCGGGGGGCAGGACCAAUCAACACGACCGACCAGAGGACAGAGUCAGCGUGCACGAUCGGCUGGAGGAGAUGGCUGAUGCUCCGGUAUCAGACGAGAAUCCCUUGGUACGGGAACCAGAAUGGGAACGCGCCAAACCAUCGGCUAAACCAGUAAACCCCAGGUGGUGCCCUGACGGAUUGACCAAAUCACAAAAAAGAAGAAUGCAGCAUCUCCGCCAAUGGGAAAAAUAGGAAGAAGAGCAACAACAGGUGAUGAACAAGAAAAACAACAGGCCUUGGGUGUGGCGCCCCAGAAGAAACGACAGGGAAGGCGACGACAAUCAGGAAUUGGCAGCCGAUGUCAGCAUGGUUUUCAUUCUGCCAAUGGAGUUCAUGACUCCCGCUGACUGGCAUAACAUGUCGGUGAUAGAAGAACAGAUGGCGCAAUUGGUUUGCGAGCCAAUGACAGCCACAUUCGAGAAACCUGAGGAAGAAAAACGGCAGCACCUCAGGGCGUUGUUCCUCAAAGGACAUGUCAACGGCCGACCUAUCACCAGGCUGCUAGUAGACGGAGGUGCUGCAGUAAACAUCAUGUCGUACGCCAUGUUCCGGAAGAUGGGAAAAAGCAACAAUGAUUUGACCAAGACGGACAUGAUGCUCAAAGACUUCGAAGGCAACGUGUCUCCCGCCCGCGGCGCGCUCUGCGUCGACCUCACCAUCGGCAUUAAGACUCUUCCCACCACUUUCUUUAUUAUCAAUGGCAAAGGGUCCUACAACAUGCUACUCGGCCGAGACUGGAUACACGCAAAUUGCUGCAUCUCGUCUACGAUGCAUCAAUGCCUCGUACAAUGGGUCGGCGAUAACAUCGAAGUGGUCACCGCCGAUUCCGUGUACAGCGUCGCGAUGGCCGAUACACAGCAAUGGAGCUGUGAGCACGUCAAGUGCAUAUCUGGGAGGACUUGGGACACCAAUUUCCUGAAGGUGUCCGAUUUUGGCCUACAGCCGAUCCGAGCAGUCGGCUCCGAAGAUUCAGAUUAAAUGGAUCAGUUCAUCCGAGAAGACGGGAAGCUAGGGCACAGGUUUACGUCGGCCGAUUCAUUAGAGAUGAUAGAUCUAGGCGAUGGCACCAAGCCAAGGCCGACGUACAUUAGUGCUAAUCUGGAUCCGGAGUACAAAUGUAAAUUGACAAAUUUAUUGAAGGAAUUUAAAGAUUGCUUUGCUUGGGAAUAUCAUGAGAUGCCUGGAUUAGACCGGUCCAUUGUCGAACACCGGCUGCCCAUAAAGCCGGGAUAUCGGCCAUAUCAGCAACCCGCUCGGCGAUGUAAUCCUAAAAUCCUACCUGACAUAAAGGCCGAAAUCACAAGGUUGACUGAAGCGAAAUUUAUUCGGCAAUGCCGUUAUACCGUGUGGAUCUCCAACAUCGUGCCCGUAUACAAGAAGAAUGGAAAGCUACGCAUGUGUAUUGACUUCAGGAACCUUAAUCAUCCUACGCCGAUGGACGGAUACCCGAUGCCAACAGCCGAUGUGUUAAUAGACGCCACCGUAGGUCACAAAGUCAUUAGUUUCAUGGAUCGGAAUGCCGGAUACAAUCAAAUACUAAUGGCCGAAGAAGAGAUAUCAAAAACAGUUUCAGGUGCCCAGGCCACCUUGGCUUGUUCGAGUGGGUAGUAAUGACUUUUGGGUUGAAGAACGCCAGCGCUACAUAUCAGCGAGCCAUGAAUUACAUAUUUCACAAACUCAUCGGCGUACUGGUAGAGAUUUACAUCGAUGACGUCGUGGUCAAAUCAAGAGGACACUAGGAACAUCUGGCCGAUUUGCGGCAAGUAUUGGAAUGCAUAAGAAAGCACGGGUUGAAAAUGAACCCGAACAAAUGCGCUUUCGGCGUAUCCGCCGGACAGUUCUUAGGAUUCAUGGUUCACGAGCGUGGGAUAGAGAUCAACCGGAAGACCAUAGCGGCUAUCAAUAAAGUCGUGGCCCCACAGAAUAAAACUGAGUUGCAAUCCUUGAUCGGCAAAGUCAAUUUCAUCAGGAGAUUCAUAUCCAACUUGUCCGGACGUAUCCAAGCCUUCACGCCAAUAUUGAAGUUGAAACCUGACCAAGAGUUCAUGUGGGGAGAAGAACAAUGCAAGGCACUGGAGGAUAUAAGGCAAUACUUGGUCUCGCCACCCGUAUUGUGUUGGAGGUAUGCCCUAGAGGCAAUCAUAGAGAUGAUGAUAUUCCAUUUGUAUUCAUGAUUUGUAUGUUGUGUUCAUUGAAUAUCCAUUGAAGGCUACUUGAAUUGAUUUGCAAUUAUGUGAAUUGUAUGUGAAACUCUUUACUUGUAUGGUUAUUCUAAAGUUGUCCCUAGUCGGAGUUCAUGUGAGGACACACAUGAAUAUUAGACUAGCACAUGUAUUAGUUGAUGACUAUGUUUCACAAGUCAUGGACAUGGAGAUGUUGAACUAAUAAUGUGGACACAUGUGGAGACAUGUGCUAGGACUAACCCAACACGAGAAGUAGUUCUCUCUUUAAACAACAUAUACGUUUUGUCCUUAGACCUGAGAUUGUCGCAUGUAUUCUAGAUGUGGAUCGACCUACUUAGGGGCUAUCAAACUCUACGCCGUAACAGGGUAGUUAUAAAGGUAGCUUUCGGGUUUGUCAAGAAGCAUGCUAUGAGACAUGGUCAAUCAAGAUGGGAUUUGCCCCUCUCUGAUUGAGAGUGAUAUCUCUGGGCCCCUCGAGUGAUCGGAUCCGAAAAUGCAUGGCCAUGCUACGUACGGUUAAGAGUUAACCUACAAAGGGAUUCUGAAUCACAGGAUCGAGAAAGAGGGGUCGGCUUGAAGCUAGACCAAAUAUCGUGAGGCAAAGGGAAUAGCAUGUAUAUUAUGUUGUGAUGGUUCGUCUGAUAUGAUCUUCGUGUGCGUAUAGGAGUUGGCACCUCUUGCUAGAGGCCGCUACCGACUAUUGGGCCGAGUAGGAGUACUCGGGCCAUGUCUAUACGUAUCCGAACCUAUAGGGUCACACACUUAAGGGGCUGGAAGCCCAAUUCGGAUCAGAUUCGAGUUGGAUUAGGUUUAGAAAUACUAAUGGGCCUCGGAUCCAGAGGCCCGUCAGGAACCUCUAUAAAUAGAGGGGUGGGGGCGCCCUAGGGUUUACACCUUUUUGGCGAAACACACCUGCCGCGCCUCCCACGCCCUCGCCUGUUGCAACUCGCUGAUCUAGCAGUCCGGCUUGCGACGCUUCCUCCCUGCACGUGUGGAUACCUUGGAGGUGUUGCGCCUGCAGCACUUGGACGAGCCGUCGACGAGCCGCCGACGAGCCACGACGAGCCAACGACGAGCCGCGGCACCGGAGGCAAUCUUUUUGCACGUGGACGAGCUGCUGAGGAGCUGCUGGACGUUGACGUGAUCGACUACGUACGACUACGUUGAUCGACUACGUACGACUACGUGAUCGUCUUCACUGCAUCGACGCAUAUCUACAUCUUCCGCACCAGUAGUGCGUCGAGUGGUAAUCCCAUGAUCCUUAUACGGCAGUUCUUCCUGGUUUUACGUGGUAGAAAUUUUGAUUUGCGCUAGUGUAGCCUACCUCGUAUCCCAACAGUGGUAUCAAGAGCCGUAGCUGCUUAGUUUUGGAUUCGGGAUGUGUGCAUAUGGAGAUAUGCGAGUUUUUCGUUUGAUCUAUGUCCUGGUUUCGUGCCCUUGCUGCAAUGGUAGUGUAACGACAUACUCCUACCGGUCGGUUUCCGCCAUCAGAGUUAAGUGAUACACGUAAAUCCAGUUGCAGUGAGCGAAGAUCAAUAUGAUUGGUGGAAUCAAGAUCCAGGGUCAUACGCCAGGCGCAUUAGAUGUGCAAUAGUAGAUGAGAUCUACUGCCGGGGUCGGGAUUUUUGCCGUAUGCGUAUGCUUCGCUAAAUCAGCCGUAACUUUUCGGUACGAUCUCGGAUCGGGGCGAAUUUUAUAUGAAAAUUGAUCUACUGAAAAAGUUACACAUGAAAUUCAACCGCUUUGCCGUUUUCAGCGAAAUUAGAUUUCCCAAAUUCGGCUUGGAAGAUGGAGUUUCGGGCCUCCAAAGUUUGGAACGUUAGGGCGCCUAACUCUGUUUUGCAGGAUGUAUGUAUGUAUCUUGUGAUCAGUAUGGCCCCCUUGUGUAUGUGAUGCAUGUGUGUAACUCAUUCGUGACCUGCGUGUCGCGCGUACGGCAACACGGCAGGAGCCAUAUGUGUUGUCACUUUAUUGUAUUUAAUGGUCUGCGUACCAAUCUGUGAUGAUCCAAGCAACUAUGUAAUCUUCAUUACUAGAUUCUUUACUAGCUAUUAGGUGUAAUAGCAUGUUCUAGUUCUUGGAGGACUCAUCACCAGUAGGAUGGCGCACAUGGAACAUGGAGAUGGAGAUCACCAUGGUGAACAGGUUCUAUGGAGAUGGAGAUCACCAUAUGAAAACGGGCCAUACCGUGUCACAACUGUGUGAAUGCUAUUCUGUUUAUGUUUUACUUUCUGCAUGCUGUGUGAGGUUAGAAGUAGAACGAUCCCUCACAAAGUUUAAGUUAGUAUGCCCUCCCAACUAAAACUUGCACCGUCCCAUGUCUUGUACAAUUAGUGGUUGGUCUAUGAAAUUAGGGUACCACUAGUUUUCCUUGACUAGACGGGUUUGUGUCGGACACUUACACGCAUAAGGGUUGGUUUGCUUAACGAGGUCAUCUUAACGGUUAAGGACCUUGGGGCAUGACGGUUGGGCGCCGAGACAUGGAGAUGUCACCCAAUAACAGGAGUCAUAUGUGAUAUGAUUAGCAAAAGUUGCUUACCGAUCUACCUUGUUUGCUAGCGGUGAUGCUAAAGCUCACUAGUGAACUUGUUAGUUGUGGAUCCUGAAUCACUAAGUUUCAAUAGAGGGAUAUUGAUUUUAGUGGGAGUAGAUUUUGUUAAAAUAGUUUAAUGUGAUUUGCUCUAUCAUGGAUACGUUUGUCUUAGUGUAUUUUGCAUUACUUUGUUGUAGAUUAAAUGGCACCUAGCAGCACUACACCGUUUGCUUUGCGUUCGGUCCUUGAGAAGGACAAGUUGAAUGGAACAAAUUACUCGGAUUGGAUCCGUAACCUGAGAAUCGUUCUCAGGGCUGAGAAAAAGGAAGAUGUUCUAGACAACCCACUACCAGAAGAACCUGCUGAUGAUGCACCCGCUGCUGCUAAGAAUGCUUACAAGAAAGCAUGUGAUGCUAACCUUGAAGUAAGCUGCCUUAUGCUUGUUUGCAUGGAACCCGAGCUGCAGAUGCAGUUCGAAACAAACCAUGAGGCGCACGAUAUGAUCGUGGCGCUUAGAGACAUGUUCCAAAUACAGGCCAGGACUGAAAGGUUCAAUGUGUCUAAGGCCUUUGUUGAGAGCAAGCUAGCAGAAGGCGCAGCAGUAGGACCACACGUAAUCAAGAUGGUUGGUUACACUCAACGGUUGGAGAAGCUAGGCUUCCCACUAGGCCAAGAGUUGGCCACUGAUUUCAUUCUUUCGUCUCUUCCGCGUAGCUAUGGGAACUUCAUCUCGAACUACCAUAUGCAUGGGACGGAGAAGGGUCUGAAUGAGCUGUGUGGCAUGCUUAAAACAGCAGAGGCUGACAUCAAGAAAAGCGCUAGUACCAGCCAUGUGAUGGCGAUACAGAACAAGCCUAGCUUUAAGAAGAAGGGCAAUUCUUGGAAGAAGAAGGGCAAGGCUGGAACGUCCAAGCCAAACCCAGCGCCCAAGGUUAAAGCUGGACCUGGACCUGCUCCAGACAAAGAGUGCUUUUACUGUCAUGAACUUGGUCACUAGAAGAGAAACUGCAAGCAGUACCUAGCUUCCUUGAAGAAUGGCGGAAGUAAGAGUACUUCUAUCUCAGGUACGCUUGUUGUUAAUGUUAUAGACAACAUAUUUCUCGCUGAUACAAUUAUUAAUUCUUGGGUAUUUGAUACCGGAUCGGUUGCUCAUAUUUGCAAUUCGAUGCAUGGAAUGAUAAGAAGUAGAAGCGUGGAAAGAGGAGAAGUUGAUUUCCGCGUGGGCAAUAAUGCAAGAGUUGCU